GCCAUUUCUCAAAAUGCUGUUUUUUAAAUUACAGAGCUGCGCUUCGAAAUACUGUAUGGAAAUUAGCAGCGCCACUGCAGUGCUUCUGCAAGCUUCCAAUUUGAAAGCGCCCUUACAUGGUAGUUAAAUGCCUAUUGCCAAGUUUGCUUGGGAUCAUUGUCUACCAGAAGCGUAGAAUUUUUUUUUAAAUAUUGACAACAUACGUUGUUUAGAGCCCAAACUGCGGCACGCCGAGGCAUCUCAUUUCGUCGUCAGACAUCGUCCCGUACGGGAGCUCCAUGUGGAUGUCCCAAGGUGGAUCCGCCAUUAUUACUGCGAAUUUACCUACGGACAGAGCUCCUACAAAAGAGUCCUUCCAAAGAAGUGCUGCCACCUACUUUGACACUAUUUUUGCUGCCUAGA